GACGAACGCUGGCGGCGUGCUUAACACAUGCAAGUCGAACGGAAAGGCCCUGCUCUUGCGGUGUGCUCGAGAGGCGCACGGGUGUGUAUAACGUGAGUAUACUGUACUUGACUUUGGGAUAACUUCAGGAGAAUGGGGCUCAUACCCGGUAGGAGCUCCUGCUGCAUGGUGGGGGUUGGAAAGUUUCGGCGGUUGGGGAUGGACUCGCGGCUUAUCAGCUUGUUGGUGGGGUAGUGGCUUACCAAGGCUUUGACGGGUAGCCGGCCUGAGAGGGUGACCGGCCACAUUGGGACUGAGAUACGGCCCAGACUCCUACGGGAGGCAGCAGUGGGGAAUAUUGCACAAUGGGCGGAAGCCUGAUGCAGCGACGCCGCGUGCGGGAUGACGGCCUUCGGGUUGUAAACCGCUUUCGCCUGUGACGAAGCGAGAGUGACGGUAAUUGGUAAAGAAGCACCGGCUAACUACGUG
rnacentral:rRNA from 1 species